UCGGCUACUUCUGCCGAUACUCUACCUUACCUUAACGCCCUAUCUUCACAUGCUUAAAUCCAGCUCAUCACCGGAUGCGGUUUUGAGACAACUUCCCCUGGGGCCUUCUUUGAUACUCUGCAAGAAAUAACAUCUCUCUACACUUCAGCCUCCCCUGUUCUACUGCCCCCGACUCCUGGGCAGCACAGGUGCGCAUCGUGCAGUUGAGAUUUAGCUAGGCUUGCCAGAGGCCCGCCAGGAGGACCCGACGGCACGAGCAUGUUGCUGUUCUUGCGGACCACGUGGAGCGGACCUCCCCACUACGACAAAAGGGUCAAUCUCUCCCCCCGAGGCUGGACAAGGACUUGCUUACAUGUCUUCAAGCGUAGGCUCCGGGCUGAAGCUGAACCGGCCGGCAGCAGCAGCGUCUUCUUGCCCCGCAUCAUCAUGCGAACCGCCACCAGCUUGGGACAUCCCGCCCAGCAGUCCCAGCCGCGCGGGAGUGUGCAAACCCCGCGCCACACUCGGAGUCGCCCCAGGAUCCCGGCCAAUCACGGCGUCUAGGUGCGUUCCCGGGGCGGAGCCGGAGGAGGACCCACUCAUAUAUGUGGAUUUUGCUACGGUCCACCCCUUGUCCGGACUGGACCAAUCUGAGGGAGUUUCUAGAGUGUUUUCUCCGCCUGUCCCCUCGAGUUCUUCCUCCCGGGAGAAACUUCUUAAAGGGAAAGGCACCAGUUCAAUCUGGGAAAGAGACUAAAGCCGAAAGCCUACUGCGGCGUUGUUUGCUUAAUGGGCGCCAGAUGGCGCCAAAGUGAAAAGGCAGGCGCCCUGGAGGAGGCAAGCAAAACCGUACUAGAGAAGGACCCAGCGCCUGCACUGUCUCUUGGUUGGGGGCACUGCUCAAGGCUCCAGAACAGCCAGCCUUCCCACAAUUUGAAUGAGGCUGACGAGAACGAGUGCAGACUGUAGAUACAGACGGACCGGCCAUUGUAUCCCAUUUCAGCGUCCUGCCCCAGCGGAUUCCAAUGAUUGGAAGCAAUUAACCCACCCUUGCCCUACAGGGAGAGGAAGGCAUUCCUCCUCUUUACCUGCGGCGUAGAACACCGGGCACUGGAAUUUGUGGCAGGUGGCUAGGGUCUGCCUCCUCUCUCCUUACCAGCUCCAUGGGUCACUAUCACAGCCUUACAUAAUACACAAGAGGACACCAAACUCGCUUACAUUAGUGACUUUAUGAAGGCUUUUUAAAGACUUGUUUUUAUUUAUUCGUUUGUUUUUGUGUGUGUUUUGUCUGCAUGUAUGUCUGUGAAGGGUUAGCGGGGGUGUGGUGACUGUCACAAGGCCCCAGACCACAGCACGACUGACUCCAUGGUGGAAGUGCCAUUCAGGCUGUAAAACGCAGCACAUAGACAGCACCACCUGACAAAACUAAAACAAUGGCCUAACCCAUCAAGUCCAUAGUUCUGGGACAGUAAAUGUACUAACCUUGCUUUUCGGCUUCUGUAGUUCGGCUUCUGGCUAACCAAUCUUGUUAACUAAAGUAUGUCAACCCAGCACAAGGUUUUUGUGCUUAAACGCUCACCCCGAGAAAGGCUCAGUGCUACACACACAGGGAUCCCGAACGCCCAUGCCUGAGCAGUUCUCUCUGGUGAAUACCCUGGGACAGUGACACACACUUGCAAUCUCACAAUUGCAGGAAGAGUGGGGGUUCGAGGCCAGCCUGGGUUACAUAGUGAGAUUUUUGCCUGAAAAAAGAAAUUAAAAAACCCAGGGUGCUUCUACCUCUACACAGUAUUUAGUUGAGUGAUGCAGCCAAGACACUUGAUUUCACAAAUUGCAGCAUGCCUUUAGCAUUCUGGUUCUGGAAGGUAAUAAAGGUCUUCGUUAGUCAA